rnacentral:rRNA from 1 species
GAUGAACGCUGGCGGCGUGCCUAAUACAUGCAAGUCGAGCGAACAGACGAGGAGCUUGCUCCUCUGACGUUAGCGGCGGACGGGUGAGUAACACGUGGAUAACCUACCUAUAAGACUGGGAUAACUUCGGGAAACCGGAGCUAAUACCGGAUAAUAUAUUGAACCGCAUGGUUCAAUAGUGAAAGACGGUUUUGCUGUAUCUUAUAGAUGGAUCCGCGCCGCAUUAGCUAGUUGGUAAGGUAACGGCUUACCAAGGCAACGAUGCGUAGCCGACCUGAGAGGGUGAUCGGCCACACUGGAACUGAGACACGGUCCAGACUCCUACGGGAGGCAGCAGUAGGGAAUCUUCCGCAAUGGGCGAAAGCCUGACGGAGCAACGCCGCGUGAGUGAUGAAGGUCUUCGGAUCGUAAAACUCUGUUAUUAGGGAAGAACAAAUGUGUAAGUAACUAUGCACGUCUUGACGGUACCUAAUCAGAAAGCCACGGCUAACUACGUG